GCCACUGCAUACGACCAAAACUAGGAUGUUGGAGACUGUUUCUUUAACAUCUGUUGGCAUUUCCCACCCCCACCGCUUACAUAAAGCAUCUCCAUACAUUCUCAAAAGCAUUGAAAAAUAAUCAAACAUUCAUCCCAAAAGGAAUGAAAAGAUAACACCAUCCUCAGCAAUAGCAACUACAAGGAGUAUCAUCAAAACUCAUGCAUGAAAAGUUGUCCUUAGUUCAUUACCAUGUUCUUGCUGUUUUCAUACUAUGUUCUUUCCUUUAUUGGGUUUCUGUUGGUUUACUCAGUUUCAUUGCCCCCAUCAGCCAUAUACCUUAUUGAAUUCCGCCAUAGCCUCCCCAAACAUUCUCAGCAUCUCCUGCUAUGGAACGAGUCCAAUUCACCUUCUUCACCUUGCCAAUGGCCAGGAGUUCAUUGCUAUCCCAAGAACAGCUUUCAAGUCAAGACCUUAAACCUCUCAGGCUUUGGACUCUCUGGUGUCUUGAACAACUCGAUUUCCCAUCUCUGCCACCAUAAACGUUUGCUCUCUCUUGACCUCAGUGGCAACAGUUUUAGUGGUGAAAUCCCCCUGCUGCUUGGAAACUGUGCCCAACUAAAUACCAUUCUUCUCAACGACAAUGACUUCCGAGGGCCAAUCCCACCUGAGCUUUUCGGAUCAAAGCGGCUUUCACGGCUUGAUUUGGGAUAUAAUUCUCUCUCUGGCAGUAUUCCUCCUGAGGUAAGCUUCUGCAUCAAUCUCGAAUACUUGGGAUUGUACAAUAAUUAUCUGAGAGGAGAGAUUCCAAGUGAGAUAUUCUCUCUACCAGCUUUGAAGUAUCUUUAUUUGCACACAAACAACUUCACGGGUUCUUUACCAGAUUUUUCCCCUUCCUGUGCAAUAUCUGAUCUUUGGAUUCAUCAAAAUGCCUUUUCUGGAUCUUUGCCUUAUACUUUGAGCAAUUGCCACAACCUUACUACGCUUAUUGCAUCUUUUAACAACUUUGGAGGGGUUAUUUCAUUAGAGAUCUUCAAGGGUCUUUUGCAACUUGAGGUUCUCUAUCUUGAUGAAAACAAACUUGAAGGGGAAAUACCAGAGACUUUGUGGGGCCUUGAAAGAUUGCAAGAGCUUGUUCUUUCCGGGAACAAGCUGAAUGGAAGUAUACCUGAAAGAAUUACUCAAUGCCGUUUGCUAGUGGUUAUUGCCCUCUCAAGUAAUAAGCUGGUGGGUCAGAUUCCUCAUUCAAUUGGAGAUUUAAAAUAUUUGAAAAAUUUGUUCCUCUUUGAUAACAUGCUUGAUGGCUCACUACCUCCUCAGCUUGGAAACUGUACUUCACUUGUUGAACUUAAGCUUCAGAAUAACUUCAUCGGAGGGACAAUUCCUCCAGAAAUUUGCAAUCUAGAAAAUCUUGAGGUCCUUUUUCUGUUCAAUAAUCAUAUCAGAGGCCAUAUUCCUCUACAGAUUGGUAGAAUGAGUAGUCUUAUGGAGUUGGCUCUGUAUAACAAUAACUUGACUGGUAGAAUCCCACUAGGAAUUACCCAUUUGAAAAAGCUCACAUUCCUGUCCUUCGCUCAUAAUAAUCUCUCUGGAGAGUUGCCAUCGGAGCUUGGCAAGGACAAUUCUCCUGGUCUACUUAAAUUGGAUUUAACUGGGAAUAAGCUAUAUGGACCAAUCUCUUCUAGUAUAUGUACAGGCAAUAAUCUUUCAGUUUUGGCACUAGGGAACAACCAUUUUAAUGGAAGUUUUCCAGUUGGCAUUGAAAAAUGCUCCUCUUAGAAGGGUGAUCAUUAGUAACAAUCUCUUGCAAGGGACUAUACCGGCUGAUUUGGGUAAUAACUCUGGAAUUUCUUUCUUAGAAGUUCGAGGCAACUUGCUUCAAGGAACAAUACCUCCAAUGUUGGGACAUUGGAGCAAUUUAUCCAUGCUUGAUUUUUCAGAUAAUAGAUUUUCUGGAACUAUACCUCUGGAGCUUGGUAAACUAGAGGCUCUACAAGUUUUGAGACUUUCUUCAAAUAGGUUGGCUGGAAUGAUCCCUUCUGAGCUGGGACAUUGCACGGAAUUGAUUGAACUGGACCUCAGCAAGAACGAUCUUUCAGGAAGCAUUCCUUUAAAGAUCAUCUCAGUUGCAAAAAUGCAAAGUCUUCACCUUGAAGAGAACAAACUCAGUGGAAUUAUUCCUGACACUUUCUCUUCCCCUCAUAGUCUGUUUGAGCUGCAGCUUGGAAGCAACAUAUUAGAAGGCCCCAUUCCUUGCAGUUUGGGUAAACUUCAUCAUUUUAGUUCAAUUCUCAAUUUGAGCAAUAAUAGGCUCUCCGGUAAUAUCCCACAAUGCCUCGGCAAUCUAGACAAGUUGCAAAUUCUUGACCUAUCAAGUAAUGGUUUCUCUGGUGAAAUACCAACUGCACUAAACAGUAUGAUCUCCCUUACCUUUGUGAACAUAUCGUUCAAUACCCUCUCUGGAAAACUCCCUUCUGCUUGGUUGAAGUUGGUGGCUUCAUAUCCAGGAUCUUUCCUUGGAAACCCAGGACUUUGCUUGCUUGGUAAUGAAGAAAAGUACUGUGAAAAAAACUAGAAAUGUAGGUAAGAGAGGCCAAGUGCUGUCUGGAGUGAUUGUAGGUGUAGUAAUCUCAGUGUCAAUACUCUGUGCUCUAAUUUACAUACUAAUCGCUAGAGGCUUUGGGAAGAAAUCAACUCCUGAUCAGUCUCUCCUUCAUGAUUGUCCUUCAGUAACUGAAGAUUUACCUCAGGACUUACAAUUUGAAGAUAUUAUGCGUGCCACAGAAGACCCAAAUGACAAGUAUGUGAUCGGGAGAGGCAAAGAUGGGACAGUCUACCGCACAGAAUCUGCAAACUCCAGAAAGCAUUGGGCAGUCAAGAAGGUGGACUUGUCCAAGACAAGUUUUGUAAUUGAGACAAAGACUUUAAGCUUAAUUAGGCAUCGGAAUGUGGUGAGGAUGGCAGGGUAUUGCAUGAAAGAUGGAUAUGGUUACAUUGUCACAGAGUACGUGCCAGGAGGGACCCUUUUUGAUGCACUGCAUAGAAGUGAACCACAGUUGGUUUUAGGCUGGGACACCAGAUAUCGUAUUGCUUUCGGCAUUGCACAAGGCCUUUCUUACCUUCACCAUGACUGUGUGCCGCAAGUUAUCCAUCGAGAUAUCAAAUCUGACAACAUUCUACUGGACUCUCAACUGGAACCAAAGAUAGGAGAUUUCGGGAUAGCGAAAUUGGUUAAUGAUUCUGAUUCAAGCUCCACAAGGUCUGCCAUUGUAGGAACAUUAGGCUACAUCGCACCAGAGAAUGCGUAUUCAACCCGGUUGACAGAGAAAUGUGAUGUGUAUAGUUACGGAGUCAUUCUGCUGGAGCUCCUUUGCAGAAGAUUGCCAGUUGACCCCUGCUUUGAAGAAGGCUUGGAUAUUGUCUCCUGGUCAAAGAAGAAGCUGCAGGAAAAUGAUGAGUUCAUUGGCUUCUUUGAUGAGGAAAUAUGUUACUGGGAUAGAGAUGAACAACAAAAGGCAUUGAAGUUGUUGGACUUGGCGCUUGAAUGCACUGAACAAGUGGCGGAUGCAAGACCCUCCAUGAGAGAUGUAGUAGCAUUCCUUAUCAAGUUGAACGAUAAGCAUGCAACCAGUUUAAGUAAUAGACGGAGUUCAAGGUUAUAGAAUUCAAUACAAAAUCGUUUAUCUGUUUUCAU